rnacentral:rRNA from 1 species
AAUCUCAACUUUAUUAGAAGAGACGCAUUUAUUAGAUAAAAAGCCAGUUCAUGCUUUUACAGUAUGAAAAUUGGUGAUUUAUAAUAACUUAGCAAAUCGCAAAGUGAAAACAGGCGAUAAAUCAUUCAAGUUUCUGACCUAUCAGCUUUCGACGGUAUGGUAUUGGCUUACCGUGGCAGUGACGGUUAACGGGGGAUUAGGGUUCGAUUCCGGAGAGGGAGCCUGAGAAACGGCUACCACAUCUAAGGAAGGCAGCAGGCGCGCAAAUUACCCAAUUCUAACAGUUUGAGAGAGGUAGUAACAAGAAAUAACAAUACAAGGCAGUUAAAAUGCUUUGUAAUUGGAAUGAUAGAAAUUUAAACCCUUUUUAAAGUAUCAAUUGGAGGGCAAGUCUGGUGCCAGCAGCCGCGGUAAUUCCAGCUCCAAUAGCGUAUAUUAAAAUUGUUGCAGUUAAAAAGCUCGUAGUUGAAGUUCUGCUGAAAGUAACCGGUCUGCUUUUAAUAAAAGUGGUAUCUUGGUAUGUAUUUAGCAAUGAUGUCCUUUGAAGUGUUUUUUACUUUAUUGUAAUAAAGCAUAUUCAGGACUUUUACUUUGAGAAAAUUAGAGUGUUUCUAGCAGGCUAACGCUUUGAAUACUGCAGCAGAA